AUUAAUUUUAAAUUGCUUUCAUUGUCAGCUCCUAGCAAAGAAAGAUGUGUAGCUAAGAAGCAGUAGCAGUUUCCUGCAGGCAACUUUGUUGCAAACUAGUCUAGAAUAGCUACUCUGCCAGGAUCUCUAAGUUUCGAACGGAGGAGUAUACCAGCCAAGGCCCCAGCAAAGGAUCAUUUCACAAGUAAGCUCUGUAUGUGUAUAGCGAUCAGCAUUUUCCUAGUUCAGCCUUUAUAAGCCUUUUGAGCUGAUUUAAUAUGCUUGUCCACCUACCUAGAUAGCCUCUGAGUGUGUGAAAUAUACUGGAAGAGUAGCUUCCAUUCGCCUCUAGCAAAGAAAGAUGCAAAGAAAGAUGCAUAACUUGGAAACAGUGACAGUUUUCUUUAUUCAACUUCUUAGCAAAGUAGUCUACAGUAGUUACUGUGUCAGGAUCUCCUGGUUUCCAACGAAACAGUCAACCGCAGGGCCAGAGCAAGGGAUCACUUCAGAGUGUGGCAAAGAAAGAUGCACCCCUUAGUAACAGUAACAGUUCUCUUCAAGCUACGUACCUUGUAGUUCUAUCUGAACAGUCGAACAGUCAACCAGCCAAGGACAGAGCGAGAGAUUACUUUAGAGCUGUGAAGAAUACUGGACACCGGAAAGUUUGGGCCAACAGAUUGGUUGAGAUGGUGGGAGUCCAUAGGCAGGCCAGGAGUGGAACUGCUUACAGUCUGUGAAACAAUCGUCACUGCUAUCUGCCAUGGUACCACCACCAUCUUAUGGGUCUGAGAAGUCCUACUCACUGUCACUACUAUCCAAGAUACCCAGGAUACCUCAUCCCUUGUGUACAGAGGCCUCUUUGUUAUUGUUGUACCAUAGAAUUAAUUGUAAUUGUAUUUAUUAUAAUGUAUGUUCACUUUUGAGAUUGAUAUUGAAAUACAAAUUUCACACGAAAUUUUAAGCAAA